AGUGAACGCUGGCGGUAGGCCUAACACAUGCAAGUCGAACGGCAGCACAGGAGAGCUUGCUCUCUGGGUGGCGAGUGGCGGACGGGUGAGGAAUACAUCGGAAUCUACUUUUUCGUGGGGGAUAACGUAGGGAAACUUACGCUAAUACCGCAUACGACCUACGGGUGAAAGCAGGGGAUCUUCGGACCUUGCGCGAUUGAAUGAGCCGAUGUCGGAUUAGCUAGUUGGCGGGGUAAAGGCCCUCCAAGGCGACGAUCCGUAGCUGGUCUGAGAGGAUGAUCAGCCACACUGGAACUGAGACACGGUCCAGACUCCUACGGGAGGCAGCAGUGGGGAAUAUUGGACAAUGGGCGCAAGCCUGAUCCAGCCAUACCGCGUGGGUGAAGAAGGCCUUCGGGUUGUAAAGCCCUUUUGUUGGGAAAGAAAUCCAGCUGGUUAAUACCCGGUUGGGGUGACGGUACCCAAAGAAUAAGCACCGGCUAACUUCGUGCCAGCAGCCGCCGUAA
rnacentral:rRNA from 1 species